rnacentral:rRNA from 1 species
GAUGAACGCUGGCGGCGUGCUUAACACAUGCAAGUCGAACGAGAAGUGAAGACGGAAACCUUCGGGCGGAAGGCUUUAUUUCGAGUGGCGGACGGGUGAGUAACGCGUGGGUAACCUGCCUCAUACAGGGGGAUAACAGUUGGAAACGACUGUUAAUACCGCAUAAGACCACAGCACCGCAUGGUGCGGGGGUAAAAACUCCGGUGGUAUGAGAUGGACCUGCGUUCGAUUAGCCAGUUGGCGGGGUAACGGCCCACCAAAGCGACGAUCGAUAGCCGAUCUGAGAGGAUGACCGGCCACAUUGGGACUGAGACACGGCCCAAACUCCUACGGGAAGCAGCAGUGGGGAAUAUUGCACAAUGGGGGAAACCCUGAUGCAGCGACGCCGCGUGAGUGAAGAAGUAUUUCGGUAUGUAAAGCUCUAUCAGCAGGGAAGAAAAUGACGGUACCUGAGUAAGAAGCCCCGGCUAACUACGUG